AUGACUCAGUUGUCUGCUCACAGCCCGCGGUGGAAUGUGUUUUUCCUGAAAGCCCCGUGUCAGAAAAUCUGCUUUGGGAUGUCUUGUGUGUGUGCUUUAGGAAAUGAGGCGCUUCCAGCUCAGCGCUGGGGCAGAUUUCCUGGGCAGGUCGGACCACCUCACUCUUGUGUGUCGUGGGGUCACAGUUCCAACAUACUUCAGGUUUUGAGUGUGACAGCCGGCGAAGGAGGCUUUCAUCCCUCAUUCUGUACAUUCCUUCGUUUUGCUCACAUUCUUGUAUGAUGCCGUUGUUUCCCUCUGGUGGUGGUGGUGGUGGUGGUGGUGGGGGGGGGGGGGCAGAGCGGCCCUCUUCAAAAUGACACAUCAACACCAAGAUAACUGGCUCCUUCUUCUGCUGGAGAUCAUUUUGCAGCUUCAGAGCUGCAGACGUUUGGAUGCAAAAUGGAUGCUGGGAAGGAUGGAGGUGUUCACGGAAUGAGAACACUGCCUCCUUCUGGCAGACAGAGAUACUGCUUUUCUUCCUAACAUUUUUUUUUGAAGAAAAUAAUUCCAAACAUCAGGAUGUUUUUUCUUUAUUUUCAGAAUUCUUAGAGUAACUGCUGUGGCUUUCAUUUGGCCUUUAAGGAGUAAAGAUUCUCCAGAACUUGCAUGUUUCUGAUCGUUUUUUUCCCCAUUUUCAAAGCCUUUCAUGUGUGCUGAGUGUGUGGUUCACAUUUGACUGCAGGCUUGAGUCUGCCUGACCCACUUUCAUGCGGCGGGGGGUCCAGCAUUGAGCCCGAAAGAGGCCACCCCGGCCGCUUCAUGGCUCCACUCCACUGAGGCGUCAAUCAGUCAGCUGAAAAUACCACUCUGUUAUAGCUCCAGCUGACCGUUCUUUUCUCCUCACCUAGUCCAGCUUGUCCACUUUCCAAGGACGCAGCCUCCGGGUCCGGCUCUGGAGGGGAGAGCUGGCCAGAUGGCAUCCCAUCAGACUUCUUUCACCGUCUCAAUCCUUUCCUCUUUUCCUCCAAACUGCUGCUUUCCCCAGUGAAGGUGGGCUGGAAUACUGUAAACACAUGUUUUCACGAAACCUUUCAAGCGGACCAGAACCAGAACGCAUUCCAGCAGCUGAGGCUGAAACCAGAUUUUCACAACACAGGAUGGGGGCUGUGUGGGGAAAGACAUUUUAUCUUCAAAAUCUAGAUUUUUAGGGGCUAAAAAUAGUUUCAGGGUGUUAGGAAAAACAGAUCAUUAAUGUUCACAUACCAAGAAGGCUUUCCCUUCAGAAUAAAGCUUUGUAACCAGCAGAAACAGCUGUAUUGAUGCCUUGGAAGUUCAAAGACGAAGGCGAGACGUCCACAUUACAAUCCGACAACACCCACAGGACGGAUAGAAACACCUGAAGGUCAUGAAGAGUAAUGGAGAAACCUCAAAUGAUUCUAAGGUCAGGAGGAAGGAGCAGCAUCUUGACAAAUAUCAGGAGCAGGAAAGGAUUUGGAGAUGAAAGCUUCUCCAAACAGGUUCUCCAAACCAGAACAGGUAGAGUUGAGACGUCCCACAGGACCUUCAAGCCUCUGGUAGAGUGAAUGAGAGAAGGCUGCUGUUUGGGUUUUUUUCAUGGGGUUGACCGAAGUUUGAAGUAAAAAACAUUUUUAAACAAUGAAAAUAACAACAACAAAAAGCAACAACUGAAAUAUGGUUUAACUAAUUAGUAUGUGGUUCUUCAGGAGGUCAUGUUUCACAGGAAGCUUCCUGGCAAUGGGAGGAAAAACAAGUUUGACUUAAUUUGAUUGAUUUCUUUAUGGUUUCGCCUUGCAUACUUUCCUGUCUCCUGUAGAUGCAUUAUUUAUAAAUCGUACUGUUCCUGGAAACUAGCUAACUGAAGAAAAAAAAAGUUUUUUUCCUCAACAUGAAGCAUUUUAGAGAUUAUUGAAAACAGAAAAACUGACCCUGCAGAGCGCAAUUCUUCCACCAGAGCAGAAGACGGAUGAUUCAAACAAACACUUCCUCUGAUGGGGUCCAGAUCUGCUCUCAUCUCACCAGUCCCUGAAGCCUCCCAGUGAUUUAGGAUUCCUGCCAUCAUGAAAUGUGGUUCUGAAAUGAAAAAAGACCAGGGGGGGGGGGGGGGUUGUCUGCACCUGCAUGUCACAGACUCCCCGUCAGCCGUCCCUGCUGUAAAACAGGCACACAGAGACAACUGGAUCCCUGCAGGACAGGAAAUGUCUGCCCUGACAUCCAACUGGAGAUGAAGGUCUGAGGGGAGGAUAAACAAAAGCAGAUCCUGGAGGAAUGUCAGCAGCUCCAACUGAAAGAAAAAAAGGUGGUUUUGAUAUCCACAUGAUUUGUUUUUGCUGUUGUGCAGAUUUUAGUUACAAAUCAAUAAAGAUAUUUUUCUCUGCAGCUGAUUUUGGAGAAUAAAUUAAAAUCUGCUGUCAGGUUUGAUGUUAUGUCCUCAAGACAAGGAUAAAAAUAUAAAGUAGCAGAUAUUUUUCUUCCUUGUAAGUGAAAAAUUUGCCAAAAGAACCAGUGUAAUCUGUCUUGGCAAAAUUUCUUAAUGAUUUAUAGAAUUUCUUAAUUUAGAAGAUAGCAACAAACACAUAUUUAGGUUUAUUAAUCUGGUAAUUGGAAAUAUUAUGUCUUACCGUAAGUAUUUUCAAGAAAGACUUUUAUAAGUCAACAUAAGUCAAAUAUUUACACACUUUAUAUUUACCCCCAUAAUAUAUCUUAUUUUAAGCUAAACCACAGUCCAGCUUUUCGGAAUCAACCAAAUCUGUCACUGUUCACAUAUGAAACUUGUUCUCAAAAUCAGAAAAGUUGAGAAUUUUUUUACAUUUAGAAAUAAGGAAAUUAUUAUUAAAAUUAGUCAAAAUCACAUUUUGAUUUAAGAUUGAAAAAAAACAAUACAAUUUCACUGUAAUUUAUUGUUUUAAGGAUGUUAGUUUAAAGUUUAAAAAGCCAGACUGGCAUUUAUUGUCGUUAUAUUGGAAACAAACAUUUCUGUUCUAAUAAGUGCUAGUUUUUUAAGAUGGACCAACUUGCACUAAAAAAUUUUUUUCAUUCGUUAACAUUUCCUUAAAAUUCGUCAUUUUCAUUUAUUACUUCGUUUUUUUGUCACUGUAAUCAAAAUGAACUAAAAUUAGGUCACUAAAAACUUCUAAAAUACAGCCCAUUUCCUUAGAACUAGCAAAAAUACUUUUUAUUGGGCUGUAUAAAACAUUUAAUUUGAAGUAAUUCUAUCAAACAGUUAGUGUUUUUAGCCAUUUUUUCUUUUUUUUAAGUUUUAUGUGGAACUCUUUGUUUCUAGAUUUAGAUUUUAUUAAAAUAUUUCUUGUAAAGUAUAAAUUACUUUAUGCAUUAACAGAUUAUUUUGGGUCACCUCUUCCUGCUGGGUAGUUAGUUUUGGUCUGAAGUCUAUUAAAUAUUUAAAUCUGGUGCAUGGCAGAGGA
ensembl:lncRNA